rnacentral:rRNA from 1 species
AACGAACGCUGGCGGCAGGCCUAACACAUGCAAGUCGAGCGCCCAGCAAUGGGAGCGGCAGACGGGUGAGUAACACGUGGGAACCUUCCCUAUAGUACGGAAUAGCCCAGGGAAACUUGGAGUAAUACCGCAUACGCCCGAGAGGGGAAAGAUUUAUCGCUAUAGGAUGGGCCCGCGUAGGAUUAGCUAGUUGGUGAGGUAAUGGCUCACCAAGGCGACGAUCCUUAGCUGGUCUGAGAGGACGACCAGCCACACUGGGACUGAGACACGGCCCAGACUCCUACGGGAGGCAGCAGUGGGGAAUAUUGGACAAUGGGCGCAAGCCUGAUCCAGCCAUGCCGCGUGAGUGAUGAAGGCCUUAGGGUUGUAAAGCUCUCUUGCCGGGGACGAUAAUGACGGUACCCGGAGAAUAAGUCCCGGCUAACUUCGUGCCAGCAGCCGCGGUAAU